AGGGCCAACAAGUGCUAAGCAUCUCUUGGGGAACUCCUUCAAGACUGUUGGAAGACCAUUUCAGGUGACUACCUCUUGAAGCUCAUCAAGAGAAUGCCAAGAGUGUGUAAAGCAGUAAUCAAAGCAAAAGAUUUGAGGGAAAGAUUAAAAACAAGGAGGUCUGGGAACGACUGAAGGGAACUGACAGCAGUGAGGGAAGGAAGUAAUCACCAGAAUGUAAAAGGAUAUUGACCGUGCAGGCCCAGGAUGAAGAAGAGAAGGAAGAACACAUUUAACAAUUUUCUCAAACUUUCCAUGUGUUAUAAUAAAAACAAUGAACAUGACUACAAUAAUAUGCUAAAUGUUAUUAAAAGAUUCCAGUUUGCAAGAAAUCUGAGUGUCUGACUCUACACUAGAGGAACUCUUUUCUGAAGAACAUCAGGUGCUGAGAAGAAGCAUUGUUAUUACAGCAAAACACUGCAUCAAGCCUCCUGUCCUUCCCUCAGAAGAGCCUGUCUUCUGCUGCUGGGCUAAGACACUCUUCCUCGUCUCUAUCGGCUGUCCAGCACCUAACUCUGCCUCCUCAGCUCUGUCUGAAAGAGUCUUCUCCACAGUCAGUAAUCAGAGAUCACAGAUUCUUCUGAGAAAGUCGAUACGCUCAUUCUCUUAAAAAACUUUGUUUUUUUUUCGGGUGGGACAAAUAAUACAGGAGAGAUGCUAGAAUUCUCUAU